rnacentral:rRNA from 1 species
AUUGAACGCUGGCGGCAGGCCUAACACAUGCAAGUCGAGCGGAGCGGCGGACGGGUGAGUAAUGCCUAGGAAUCUGCCUGGUAGUGGGGAUAACGUUCGGGAACGGGCGCCUAUACCCGCUUCUUUCAGAUUGGCCUUGGUCGGAUUAGCUAGUGGGUGGGGUAAAGGCCUACCAAGGCGACGAUCCGUAACUGGUCUGAGAGGAUGAUCAGUCACACUGGAACUGAGACGCGGUCCAGACUCCUACGGGAGGCAGCAGUGGGGAAUAUUGGACAAUGGGCGAAAGCCUGAUCCAGCCAUGCCGCGUGUGUGAAGAAGGUCUUCGGAUUGUAAAGCACUUUAAGUUGGGAGGCGUUACCAACAGAAUAAGCACCGGCUAACUUCGUGCCAGCAGCCGCGGUAAUAC